rnacentral:rRNA from 1 species
GACGAACGCUGGCGGCGUGCUUAACACAUGCAAGUCGAACGGUAAGGCCCUUCGGGGUACACGAGUGGCGAACGGGUGAGUAACACGUGGGUGAUCUGCCCUGCACUUCGGGAUAAGCCUGGGAGACUGGGUCUAAUACCGGAUAGGACCCUGGGAUGCAUGUCCUGGGGUGGAAAGCUUUUGCGGUGUGGGAUGGGCCCGCGGCCUAUCAGCUUGUUGGUGGGGUGAUGGCCUACCAAGGCGACGACGGGUAGCCGGCCUGAGAGGGUGACCGGCCACACUGGGACUGAGAUACGGCCCAGACUCCUACGGGAGGCAGCAGUGGGGAAUAUUGCACAAUGGGCGCAAGCCUGAUGCAGCGACGCCGCGUGAGGGAUGACGGCCUUCGGGUUGUAAACCUCUUUCAGCACCGACGAAGCGCAGGUGACGGUAGGUGCAGAAGAAGGACCGGCCAACUACGUGCCAGCCGCCGCGGUAA